ACAAAAGGGCCCAGAGCACUAGUAGGUAUCUUGGUGGUGGAAUUAGGAGUUUCGGGUGCUUUAAAGGCAGGGUUAUCAGCCAAGAUGUGCAGGCAGCCUCUAGACACUGAGAAACACGGGAAGGGAAUUCUUCCCUGCCAUGCACCUUGACAUGAGACUUUUGGCGCUACCAAACUAAAAUGAAAACUGAAUGUUACUCUGAUGGUGACCUUCGUCUCUUCACACAGAGGAGUUGGUGAAAUCUUAGAUUUGAAGACUGCCUGAGUUACGAUGGUUGGAAAUAAAUGUGGAGAGUACAGCAUAGUCGUGGAGACCUAUGGUUAUCUAUGUAAGGAAUCCAAAGGAGGACAGCGCAGCCGUGAGUGAAUACUCCGAAAAGGACGGAACAGAGCGUCCUG